CCGAUCCCGACCCGACCUUUCCCCUCUCUGCCGACGCGAACCUCCCUUCCUUCUCUGUUCUCUCUCGCGGACAAGCGACGGCGACGGGAGCAAGGGUCCAGCUCCGGCGAUCGUCGAUCUCGACCCAGGGGAGCAGUCGCUAGCGCAGAUCCGGACGUGGGUGAUUUUCUCCAGCCCUAGCCGAGUCUGCCGAUCCUUUUCUUCCCCGAUCGACAUCACUGGAUUGAGUCGUGCCGCCCGAUCGCCGGCGUGGAAGAGCAAUUAGGGCUUCAAAGGAGGCGAGGUCCUGUUCUGUGAAGGCGAUCUUGGAUUCCCUCUGUGUCGCUGCUGAUUGAGGUCUCGGGUGAAUUGGGAAAGAACUCCAGCAGAGGUUGCUGUGAGUUUUCUGAUCCAGCAAGGUGAAGAUCUGUUUUGGUUCUUGCUGUGGUGUUUUUGGUUUCGGCAGACACCUCAUCCAGCCAGCUCAGUUUGGAUCGGCAGUCAUCCAUACCUCAGUGUACUUGAUACAGCACCUAGUUCAGCUGGGAAUUGAGGUAUGUGUAGGGAUUUUGAUACAUGUGUAGUGUUGAUUUAGGGUUAGGUUUGAAAUGAAUUGUGGUUGGAACAUGUUAUAGAUUAUGUGUUAGAUGAUUAGGUAUGAUCUUGAUACCUAUUGAUAAUUAAUUAUCAUUAGGUUGUGUAGAUUAAUUAGGUUAUAUGGAUUUAGGUUUGAUUUGCUAAUCUAGUGGUCGAUUAGGGAUUAGGAAACUAUCCUUAGUCAACCGUUAGAAAGGUUGUGGGAUAUGGUUUAGGGUUGUUCCUAAAUUUCUACUUAAGCUUUAUUUAGCUAUUUGUUAGUAUUCUAGCUAAAUAAAAGGUAAAUGUAUUUACACAGGACUCUGAUUCGAGACGAGCAUCUCGAUAUUGGAUUAGGACCGGA